CCCUCCUCUGUGGAUUCCUUAGCUCAGUUAGCUGCUUCUCUAGGUUCACGAAAUCAGCUAUUGCAGAAUGGAUGUUGCUUCGUGCAAAUUGGAUGGGAAUGCUGAUGUGGUUGAAUUUUGCCCACAGCAAAAUUUCCACCACAUUCUGGCUGCUGCGACAUACACACUAGAAGAGGGCACUCGUCCAAAUCGUUCAGGAAGCAUAUCACUUUUCUCUGCUGAUUCUAAUAUGGGCCUUGAGUUGCUCCAUCGCAUACAAACUAUUGGUGUUUUUGAUAUAAAAUGGAAUGCUCCUGGAUCCACUGAGCAUCCUUUACUUGCUCAAGCUGAUGCUGAUGGUUGUUUGACUCUUUAUUGUUUACAGUUGAACGACAAUUCAACUUCUGGGAUUGAUCUAAGUGAAGUAUGUACAGAAAAGGUAAGUCCCGCAAUGUGCUUGUGUGUGGACUGGAAUCCAUCAUCUAGUUCAGUUUCUCUUGGCCUUUCAGAUGGCUCUAUAUGUAUCGCCUCUGUGAGAGAAUCCCAACUUCAAAUUUCUCAGUCAUGGGUUGCACAUGGCUACGAAGUUUGGGCAACAGCUUUUGAUAUCAGCACCCCACAGUUACUAUAUACUGGCUCAGAUGACUGUCGGUUUAAUUGUUGGGAUUUACGAGAGGACCCAUCAAGUUUGGUGUUUCAAAAUGCAAAGUCACAUAAGAUGGGUGUGUGUUGUUUUGCUCAGAGUCCUAUGAAUUCCAAUAUACUUCUCACUGGAAGCUAUGAUGAGUUCCUCAGAGUCUGGGAUCUACGGUCAAUGUCGAAGCCUGUGAGCAAAUAUUCUCUUUGUUUAGGGGGAGGAGUUUGGAGGCUUAAAAAUCAUCCUUCAAUUGAAGGCCUUGUUUUGGCCGCGUGCAUGCACAAUGGUUUUGCUAUUGUUAGGGUUGGAGAUGAAAGUGCAGAUAUAAUGGAAUCUUAUACCAAGCAUGAGUCAUUAGCAUAUGGAGCUGACUGGCAAAGAACAGAAUGUGUGCAAGCUAGUACCGAAAGAGGGUCCUUUGUUGCUACUUGUUCAUUUUAUGAUCAGCUUCUUCGCAUAUGGAAACCCGAGAGUCUGAUAGUUAAACCAGGGUAUUAAAUUGUGCUUACUCAGCAAAGGUAAAAUCAACUUGAAUUUAUAUAUGAAGAUAUCGCUUGUGCGUAGAGUUUCUCUCUCCUUUUCUUCUUCUUCUGAGCGUCUGAUAGUUAAACCAGUGUGUUAAAUUGUGCUUACUCAGCAAAGGUUUCUUUCAGCUAUUAAGUUGAUCAAAUUGGCAGAACCAUGCAUAGAGAAACUUUGUGCUGGCAUAUGGAGGGACCUUGUGGAGAUUAACCUUAAAUUGAAGGAAAAAUUAAUUUCAUCUGGGACACUUAAAUUCUUAAUCCAAAUAGAAAGUCAUUAGAAAUUUUGAACCCUCCCCUGUACAUGUGUAGGGUGGAUAGUCUUCUAGAGUCUGAUUCUGCUUCUUUUCGUGGAUAGUUUGGCUCCAAGAAUUGAAGCUCAUUUUUGUUAGGGCAAUGGAGCUUUUGUACGGGUACGCGACUAUCCAAUUAUCUGUAUUUCCAUGAUGUUCAUUUUGAUGACAUUUUUUUUAGAAAAUAUGAGACUGCCUUAUGAUA